AUUGAACGCUGGCGGCAUGCCUUACACAUGCAAGUCGAACGGCAGCACGGGGGCAACCCUGGUGGCGAGUGGCGAACGGGUGAGUAAUGCAUCGGAACGUGCCCUGAAGUGGGGGAUAGCCCGGCGAAAGCCGGAUUAAUACCGCAUACGACCUACGGGUGAAAGCGGGGGAUCGCAAGACCUCGCGCCAUUGGAGCGGCCGAUAUCAGAUUAGGUAGUUGGUGGGGUAAAGGCCUACCAAGCCAACGAUCUGUAGCUGGUCUGAGAGGACGACCAGCCACACUGGGACUGAGACACGGCCCAGACACCUACGGGAGGCAG
rnacentral:rRNA from 1 species